AGAGAAAGGGAACAGCAGGGCUCUGCACCAGGUCCGGUGGGUGCAGGUGCUGCUUUGCACAUGAGCCGCUAAGCUGGGAGUCUGCGUUUGUGCACACCGCUGUUGUCGAGCAGACCUUUGUGUUUUGCAGCAUUUGCUAAUAUUGCUCUAUUCAGGCUGGAUUUUUCCUUCAAUUUCCGGAGCUCUCUGGCAGGAGGAGGCUGCAUUCAAACGCCUUUUAUCUUGGUAGUAAAAAUCAGAAGCAUGGAGAGAAAUCUAACAGAGGAUGGGGAGAGAUGGGGCUGAGUCCUGGGGGAGAGCUGGAUCAGCCCUGGCACCCAGGCACCAACGCAUCGAGGCAGCUCAUCGUCAUCCCCUGUGCUCACAGCCCUUGGGUGACAGCCCACUUCAUGCCCACUAGAAUGGAUCCCAACCUCACCAAAGGGCAGCAAAGCUCGAGGAAAUUUCUUAAGCUGAAUGCUCGGGAAAGGCAAACAUUUUCCAGUUUUCUGUUCGGGGGAUAAACAGGAGUAAAUGGCGCAUCUGUAAUCCCGGAUUCUGCUUUACAAA